rnacentral:rRNA from 1 species
AGAGUUUGAUCCUGGCUCAGAUUGAACGCUGGCGGCAUGCCUAACACAUGCAAGUCGAACGGAAACGAUGGAAGCUUGCUUCCAGGCGUCGAGUGGCGGACGGGUGAGUAAUACUUAGGAAUCUGCCCAUUAGUGGGGGACAACUCGAGGAAACUCGAGCUAAUACCGCAUACGCCCUACGGGGGAAAGCGGGGGUCUUCGGACCUCGCGCUAAUGGAUGAGCCUAAGCCGGAUUAGCUUGUUGGUAGGGUAAUGGCCUACCAAGGCGACGAUCCGUAGCUGUUCUGAGAGGAAGAUCAGCCACACUGGGACUGAGACACGGCCCAGACUCCUACGGGAGGCAGCAGUGGGGAAUAUUGGACAAUGGGCGCAAGCCUGAUCCAGCAAUGCCGCGUGUGUGGAGAAGGCCUGCGGGUUGUAAAGCACUUUCAGUAGAGAAGAAAAGCUUAGGGUUAAUACCCCUGGGUCUUGACGUUACCUACAGAAGAAGCUCCGGCUAACUCCGUGCCAGCAGCCGCGGUAAUACGGAGGGAGCGAGCGUUAAUCGGAAUUACUGGGCGUAAAGCGCGCGUAGGCGGCUUUGUCAGUCGGAUGUGAAAGCCCUGGGCUCAACCUGGGAAUGGCAUUCGAUACUGCAGAGCUAGAGUAUGGUAGAGGGAAGUGGAAUUUCCGGUGUAGCGGUGAAAUGCGUAGAUAUCG